AGAGAGUCACUUUGCAUCAGCACAUGCUUCAGCGCUCCGAGUGUUUAUAGCGUUCAGACUCAACACUUUAUAACACACUGCUGUUUACCACGGUACAAAACCAACAAACACAAUGAAUCUCUUCAGCAGCUUCAUCUGGAUUCUGGCAGCUUUUAUUCCAGCAUCCAGAGGAAUCACUGUGACUCAGCCUGAAGCUGUGACUGUUUCUGAACGACAAGACGCCACGAUAGCGUGUAAAACUGAUCCUGAAAUAACUAACUGGGGUUUAGCUUGGUAUCAGCAGAAACCUGGAGAAGCUCCUAAACUCAUCAUUUAUGGUGUAAACGAUCUCUAUGAUGAGAGUUUCAGUCGAUUCAGUGGGAAUGGAGAGUCAGGUGGGACUGAUUUCACUCUGACCAUCAGUGGAGUCCAGACUGAAGAUGCUGGACAUUAUUACUGUCAGAGUUACCACAACAUCAACAGUAAACGUGUGUUCACACAGUGAUAAAGCGUGGUACAAAAACCUGUGUCAGUCAGAGUCACAGUGACUGAACUGAUGCUGCAGCUGCUCAAACACUAUCACUCACUCAACAGGGAAAAACAUAUUAAUAUUAUCUUACAAUAAACAUCAGUUUUGUUGAGCUUCAUAA